UACGUAGGGACCGAGCGUUGUCCGGAAUCAUUGGGCGUAAAGAGCGUGUAGGCGGCUUGCUAAGUCUUGCGUGAAAUCUCGGGGCUCAACCCCGAGCGGUCGUGGGAAACUGGCAGGCUAGAGUGCGGGAGAGGAGAAUGGAAUUCCUGGUGUAGCGGUGAAAUUCGUAGAUAUUCGCAAGAACACCAGUGGCGAAGGCGGCUUACUGGUCCGGUUCUGACGCUGAGGCGCGAAAGCGUGGGGAGCAAACAGG
rnacentral:rRNA from 1 species